rnacentral:rRNA from 1 species
UACGUAGGGACCAAGCGUUGUUCGGAUUCAUUGGGCGUAAAGGGUGCGUAGGCGGCGCGGUAAGUCGGGUGUGAAAUCUCGGGGCUUAACUCCGAAACUGCAUUCGAUACUGCCGUGCUUGAGGACUGGAGAGGAGACUGGAAUUUACGGUGUAGCGGUGAAAUGCGUAGAUAUCGUAAGGAAGACCAGUGGCGAAGGCGGGUCUCUGGACAGUUCCUGACGCUGAGGCACGAAGGCCAGGGGAGCAAACGGG